CUGAUGAGAAACAGAGAGAAACAACACAAACACUGUGUGACAACUGUUGUCUUCUCUGGGGGUGAAGAUAUGAUUUCUGAUUCUCUGUACCUGGUUCCUUCUUGGCAGUUAGCAGACCACAGUGGUUCAUCUUUGCACCUGUGCAACAAUUAACAAGGACAUACAAAGACGUAAUUCUGCCGUGAUCAAGAAUGACAAUACUGUACAUCAUAGACAUUGAUCAACAAUUAAAAUAAAAGACGGAUUUCCUGUUUCUUUUUUUAAAAAAAAUUCACAUGAAUGUCACAAAAAUCAUUUCCUAAUUAUAAUUAUAACCAAUUACUAUUGAUUUCCGAAUGAAUGGGUAUUUGGCGCUAUUUUUGGCAUUAAAAAAAUACUCUUUUGGCCUGAUGGAAACGUUAAAAGGUGAAAAGAGGAGAGGAGCGUAUGACCACUGACUGAAUGUGACAAUAUUAACAAUAAUAUACUAUUGAUGAUGCAUUAUUAUGUGUUAAAUGCUAUUUUUUUCUUUUUUUCGUUCUGAGAAAAGCAAAACAUUACGACAUAAUUGCGACGUCUCCAUAUGCCCUUAAUACGCUGUAGUCAUGCUGUAUCAGUACAUAAAUAAAUCUGCCAACACUCCCGA